GACCUGCUUGCCAGACUGCCCUUUGCCAGUGGCCCUGAAAAGCCUGUUCUCUGCCUGACUCCUGGAUAAAGAAACUGAUAGUCUGCCCUCCCAGAAAUCAAGAAGGCACAAGCAUUCUCUAUGCUCACAUUUCUACUUCCGAGCAAGUCCCCCAAGAGAAGCAAUGGAUGAAGUGAGAGGUGAAAGUGAAUCCAUGGAGGACAGGUAUUUUGAGAACAAGUUAUAUCAAAACUGGUCCCAAUGAAAGCCUGUUCCAAGCAUCUCCUUACGAGACAAUCCUAAGGUAAACUUGCUUUCUUUAUGCAAGCUGCAAAAGUGGAAAUCAGAUUCAAGAAGAUAUGUGUGUCCUUGUGUCCGCAGGACCUCAUGGGGUCUGCUGGAAUUGUUAGCCAGCAAGGUCAUUGACCAUGCUGUUAGGGUCACCCAGAAUGCCAACAUCUUCCUUCAUCUCCUGUUCAAAUUGCAGCGUGGCAGAGAGCAUGGUAGCUAUUGUGGAGAUUGCCCAGGAACUUUGAGGCCACAACCAGCCUGUGAUAUCCCAAUUAUCAUCUGCUAUCACCUCUCCAUUCACCUAGGUCCUCAGCAAGGAACUCCAAGCGUUGUAGGCUAAUUUUCAACCUGGGAGGGGGCAACUACUACCUAACCCCACAAUCACCACUCAGAGUUCAGCCUGUUUCCUUCUUCUCUCUCCUUGGUCUAAGUGUGUAGGGUAGACGUGCAGUCUGGCAUGCAACAGAAAAACCAUUCAGCUGUCUAAAGACUACAGUAAAAUUUAACCUUGCAAAUGAAGAAGCUAUUUUAUUAACUUUCUCCUUAGCCUUUGAAUCCCCAUCCCUAAUCUUAAUAAAACUACUAUAUGGAAAGCUUGGAUUUCUGUAUACUUUUGACAACGAGAGGAUCUCUGAAAGAUUCUUCUUUCAGAUUGUCUAGUUUAGGCUUACUAGUUUUGGUAAACUAAAGUAGACAAUAUGAAAUAAAAGUGUCACACUUACUUGUGAACAGCAAGGAUCACCCAUGAUUAUUUUCAGUAGAUAACUUUUUUUCUUAGGAAAUAAAGUCCCAUUUUUAACUCUUUGCCAUUAAGGGAUGGGGUUGACAGGGGAGAAGACUCCUCUAAGGUAUGACUAUGUGGCAUUGGGCACACUCUAUGGGGAUAUUAUUUAUACUUGGGACAUGGCAUGUCCAAAUUAUACACAAAAGGAGUUGGGUCACUGGCACCUUUUAAUAACCCAGGAAGGUGGCAGUAAAAGGUGGGAAUGAGGAGAUUCCCAAUCUAUUCCUGGUAGAACACAACCAUAAGAGGAGAGUACUUGCCUGUGGAGAUAGAUGAUGUUUGAAAUGUGACAAGUACAUUGCUAUAGACUGGAGAGACUAUAGUGAACUCCCAGCCUAUUAACAUCAGGCAGGUGCUUUCACUGUAUUCUUUUUGGCUUAAAACUUUUCUUACUUAGACAAGCCUAACCAGACAAAUAGAUGUUGACGUAUUU